UGAAGUGAGAAUGCCGGAAUGAGUAGCGCGAAUGCAGUGAGAAUCUGCAUGGCCGAAAGCCUCAGGUUUCUGGAGGAAGGUUCGUCCGCUCCAGGUCAGUCGGGAGCUAAGGUGAGGCCUAACGGCGUAGCCGAUGCACAGACGGUAGAGAUUCCGUCACCACCAAAAGAGUUAAACACAGGGACACAUAUGAAGUCUCGGAGCCGGGUGUUGGUUCCGGUAGUGAUCGAGGGAAAUUAGUACCGAAGUCCGGGAUGGAAGAUGGCGAGAAAAGCUGUGUGUAUCUCUGCGGUGCCCGUACCGCAAACCGACACAGGUAGGUAGGAAGAAGAUUCUAAGGCCAACGGGAGAAGGGUUGUUAAGGAACUCGGCAAAUUGACCCCGUAACUUCGGGAGAAGGGGUACUGCAGCAAUGCAGCCGCAGAGAAUCGGCCCAAGCAACUGUUUACCAAAAACACAGGUUUGUGCUAAAUCGAAAGAUGACGUAUACGAGCUGACGCCUGCCCGGUGCUGGAAGGUUAAGAGGAGAUGUGCAAGCAUUGAAUCGAAGCCCCAGUGAACGGCGGCCGUAACAAUAACGGUCCUAAGGUAGCGAAAUUCCUUGUCAGGUAAGUUCUGACCCGCAUGAAAGGCGUAAUGAUUUGGGCACUGUCUCAACAGCCCGCCCGGCGAAAUUGUAGUACCGGUGAAGAUGCCGGUUACCCGCGACAAGACGGAAAGACCCCAUGGAGCUUUACUGUAGCCUAAUAUUGGGUUUCGAUGUUGCAUGCACAGGAUAGAUGGGACACUGGGAAGCAGGUGCUUUGGCGCUUGUGGAGUGGCCGUUGGGAUACCAUCCUUGCGAUAUUGGAAUUCUAACCUGCGCCUUUGAAUCAAGGCGGGGGACAUUGUUAGGUGGGCAGUUUGACUGGGGCGGUCGCCUCCUAAAGAGUAACGGAGGCGUUCAAAGGUUCGCUCAGCUUGAACGGAAAUCAAGCAAAAGAGUGCAAACGCAGAAGCGAGCCUAACUGCGAGACUGACGGGUCGAGCAGUAACGAAAGUUGGAGUUAGUGAUCCGGUGGUAUGUGAGUGGAAAUGCCAUCGCUCAACGGAUAAAAGUUACCCUGGGGAUAACAGGCUGAUCUCCCCCAAGAGUCCACAUCGACGGGGAGGUUUGGCACCUCGAUGUCGGCUCAUCGCAUCCUGGGGCUGUAUUCGGUCCCAAGGGUUUGGCUGUUCGCCAAUUAAAGCGGUACGCGAGCUGGGUUCAGAACGUCGUGAGACAGUUCGGUCCCUAUCUGUCGUGGGCGCAGGAUAUUUGAUGGGAGCUGUUCCUAGUACGAGAGGACCGGAGCGGACGUACCUCUGGCGCACCAGUUGUUCUGCCAAGAGCAUAGCUGGGCAACUAUGUACGGAUCGGAUAAACGCUGAAAGCAUCUAAGCGUGAAGCCGACCCAAAGAUAAGAUAUCCCAUUGUUUCAAACAAGUAAGACCCCUUGAAGACUACAAGGUUGAUAGGCACGAUGUGUAAGUGGAGCGAUCCAUUCAGCAAGCGUGUACUAAUAGGUCGAGGGCUUGACC
rnacentral:rRNA from 1 species